ACAGCCCCUCCCUCUUUUCUUGACUUCCUUUGUAUUUUUAAAAAUAUAAUUUAUAUUAUUCUUUGCAUGGGAUAUUUUAAAAGAUACUUCAAGGCUCUGUGGAAGGACAGUUUAAAAAAAAAAGUCAGCAAGCCGGUGAGAAUGAAUCUGAAUUUUUAAUUAGGCUUUGAGUUGUUGCUUCAAAGUGUGGAGACAUCAUUAGGGAUGUAAGUCUUGUUGCAUUAGCAGAGGCUGACAUGUUACUUCAAACACACAGAGUGCAGCUGUCCUGUGCAGAUAAAAGUGGCCAAGUGCGGAAUAGCAAGGUGGAUUGGUAGAUAAUUAGCUGUCCCACAUUACUGCAGUGUGGAAGAAGCCUGCCAGUCAUAGGCAGGAAGGAGGAAUUAUUAGCAGGAGAAAAUCCAAGAGCAAUUUGGAAUCUCUUCAGCUGUGGCCCAGUUGAUAAGGCCUAUGCUAGCAAGCAACACAGAUACACUCUACUGUACGAUAGCCAGCAUUUCCUUCCUUCCUUCCUUCCUUCCUUCCUUCCUUCCUUCCUUCCUUCCUUCCUUUCUUCCUUCCUUCCUUCCAGAAUGGCCAGAAGUAAUGAUGAACAAAUACAUUCAUUGAUUCAUGAGUCUACUCCAACUCCAUUCCUGAUAUAAUUAGCUUAAAUAGUCUUUAUAGUUCCAUGUCACCAUACUGAGUUAAAAACAUCACAGAGAAUCCAUAAGGCCUUGGCAGUUACUGACUAUGGAUAACUGAGAAAGAAGUAUCCGGCUAUAUCAUCUCUUUGUUAUCAAUGAGCAGUGUUUAUAGUGUCUCAAGAUACUUGUGUGUCUGUUAGAGGUGGAGUUGUGUGGUUUAAAUAUUUCACUUCCCCUCAACCCCUGACCCUUGGAUAUCAAAGGCAUAGAAAGGCCUAUGGGAUUUUGCUGAUACUCAAUCCUCUCUAACCCCGUCCUGCCUGUCCACUUGGUGCCUCUGCAGGAUGCCGACCUGUGCUGCUGGCUCCCCCUGGCUCCCUCUGUUUCCCUCUAAGGUGCAACUUGACAGAGGAAGGGCUGGAGUAGGUCAGAUGCCUUCAGCAGCCUCUUCUCUGGAUGGGAGACUGUGGCUGCAGCUUUCUGUGGAUUGUUCCCAUCCCUUCCCAGAGACCUUUAGGAAAAAAAAAGUCCUGGAAACCUGAGAAAGGUUUAGAGGGCCACUCAGUUGGCUAUUCAGAGUUGGUUUCCUAGUUCCUCCUGUGAUAGGCUGAAGUGGUGGCCUUUCUUCAGUCUUAGGGAAGACUCAGCUCUAUACGGAUUAUAAACCCAUAACACAGGUUAUGGGUGUUUCAAAUUAUAAUUUCUGGAGAUAGUAUAAAUGCACAUGAUCGUAAAAGCAUGGUGUGGUAGCCCAGGCCUGAAAUCCCAGCCCUCGGGAGGAGGGAAGAGGUGGAUGGAGACUUCAAGGUCAUCCUAGGCCACAUGCAUAUCUUCAAGAUAUUAAUAAUAAUAAUAAAACAAUAAUGGCAAAUAAACAAAUUAAAUAGACUGAAAACAGAUAAGGAAUUUGUAUUUGCACACCUGUAUCUCAGACAUUAAAGCUAGAUAAGACUGGUAAACAGUUACAGCCUUGGAGGGUUGCUGGAGAGCGAGCAAGCACCUGUGGGAGAGAGCCCACACUCAUUGAUCUGGGAGCCUUAGGGUGGUUAGCGAAAGUCUAGACUGCAAGAAUUGUCCAUGGGGUUUGAAAGGUAGACUAUGUAUCUUUCUAAUAGUUCCUAUUCCAAAUUAGCUUUCCUCACUGUGUUUAGUUAGCAUGUUCAUUUCCUUAAGUAUUCUAGAUUGACUGGAAAAUGUUUUGGGGUCCUGCUACAAAAUGAUUGAAAUGCGUCCUUCGGUUCUAUCAAUGGUCCAGCCCAAUGCCCAGUAUAUGAGCAUUCUGAGUAUUAAUGGGAUUGGGUGGUUUGGUUUAUUGAUGGUGGAGAAAGCCGAGUUCUAUUUAGGAGUGGGGAAAAUGUGUAUGCCCUUGAAAUUAAUGUGUAUUUGGGACUCAUUUCUCACAAGGUUAGAACUCAUUGGGUAAUUCAUUUAUGAAAUAUUUACUGAACAUGUGCUGUGUGUCAGGUAUCAUCCCAUCACCUCCGUGUCUCUUGCCCUUGUGUACUGAUGAUGCUCAUCAGAAGGCUGAGGUGUGUGUGGAGGUGACAGACUCUUAAGUUUGGAGAAAAUCUGCUGCAGGCCCCCUCUUCCAGAGUAAACAAUCCCAGGAAACACAAUACUAAGGUGGCUACACUGCUCUUAGGCUAG
rnacentral:lncRNA from 1 species